AUCCAAUCCAGGAGGUUGUGGAGGCUGUAGCGACACAUGGCGGGACGGUGCCUCUUCUCCAGGAACAGAUCUGCUUGCUGCUGUUAUAUUAAGUCCAAAAAGCACAAAUGGCCACUAGAUAAGCAAAGAAAAUUCUAGAGGUUCAGCCACACAAGCAGAAUAAGGUCUGAGUGCUGAGUCAAAUCCUUCAUCUCACAGGAAGCACUUUUUAAGGUAAGAUUUCAAAUACUUUUUUUUACAUUAAGCUGCAUUUCCCAUCUUUAUAUGACAUUUCUGUUUUUUUCUUGCACAAAUGUUUUGUGUUCUACAAAUAUUAUGAAUGGAAACAGAUCAAUUUAGACCCAAAAGAUUUUGGCAAUGAAGUUACUGUGAAAAGGAAAUGUUGACCUGUUGACUGAAAAAUGCUAUUAAAAAUGUAGGAACUUGUUAUUCUGGCAUCUUUGUUCAUGUAAGCAAGAGCUUAUACAGACCUAAGUGGAUGGGAGAGGUAAAAGUAUAUGUGGGGAAUGUUUUGUGGUGACUCCUAAAGGGUCUGAAAAAGGUGACCAGCUGAAAAAUAAUCAUAUACGUUUCCUACACUGUUCAGUGUAAUAGUCGAAAUUGCUGAAGAGGUCUGUACCACUACUGCAAACUGUCCAUAAAUAACAUUUUAAAAGACAUUUCUCCUGGAAUUUGUGUUCCUUUUUCAAUGUUCCACAGUGCUAUGGAAGUAACUGUGUUGGGCUGAUGGGAAACAGUGCAGUGAUCUAUCAGCCUCUGAAGAAAGGGGUUGUGCUAGAAAAAACAAGGUAUGACUCGAAGCUUUGCCACAAAGACAGAAUUAAAAGAAUAUAAUUUGAAUUCCAGCUAAAUCCCGACUUUUUGACAAGCUGGGUAAAUGAGAUUUUUAGAGGUGCAGUGUCUCAUAAAUCAUGAAAGAAUGGAAGCUGCAAGUCUGUCGUAGAAGGACUCCCUUACAAGCUCAGGAACAAGCUGAAGCAGAACUCCUGGAGCAAGUCAGGGCAGACUGGCGGCUUGCUGGAAUUGAGACAGGAUGCCCAGAAUAUUUUUAGUACUUGAAGGCUACCUACUUGCUUUAAAGCAUAUGCAAUACUUCUGUCCUUGGGCUAGAGUUCUCUGUUGUGACUCCAUAAUUUUACCCUCCGGGCACAGCAAUCUCUGAAACAAAAAGAAAGUAUAUCUGAUGAAAGCAGGAUUAGUUUGUACUGAUUUUUAUAGGCAUUUACAACCAUAGAAACAGAUGUUCCAAAAAUCACACAACACAGUUCACAAUAACAAGAUGACUUUAUAAGGCUUGCAUAUAAGCAGAUUGCCAGUCUAUCGCCAAAUAAGUUUUAGGAAUUUCUCUCAGCUGUGUUUUUAUAUUAUUAAGUAUAGAAAAGAGUUCUGUCUGUCAGUGUUAAGGACUAUGUGUUGAUUUGGUUUUUUGCUUUAAGAAAUAAACUAUCAAAACCUGAAGAAACACACCAUUUAAUCUUUGUGUAAUAGGUGAAUUGUUAUACAGGAAGCCAGUUACUCUAAAAUGAGUUUAGUACUCCUUUCUGCACCAAAAUAUGGUUUGGACACAAGAUGAUGUCUGUCCUUCACGCAAUCUACUGAUGUGUAUUUGCCCCCUAGGCUUACAGGAAUGGCUACAAACAGAUAAACAGUAAAUUGAGUCAUUCUAACCUUACCGACAUUACUUCUCAUUGUGCAAAUCCAGAGGAAUACGUGCACAUGCAAAUGCUCUCUGUGAGAACAACAUGUACAGGAGCACCACAGAGGAUAUUGGUUGUUCUUCCCUGUUCCAUGUUCCUCAGAAAUGCAGCUGAAGCAGCACCCAGCCCACAAACAUACGUGCUUAGGACUACUGCUACUUUUUUAAAAAGAGUAUCGUAUUUUUAUAAAAAUUGAGCUCAAAUGAAAAAUCUGAACAAAGUUAAGGGGAACAAGUAAUUUCUUUUUCUAUCUAGGCUCUAAAUGGAAAAAAAUAAUUGCGGAAAAAAGUAUCAGGAGCUGACCUUGCUGUUCCUGUCAAAAACUUCUGCCAUCACAUAUGUAAACAGAAAAACUAUCGAGGUCAAGGUCCUCACUGAAGUCUAGUCUUUUCUCUAAUGAAUUCCCCAAACGGUUUCAUAAUAAAUUAGGGCACCGUAUUUAAAAUGUUAUGACUCCUUUAAAGGAAACUGUAAGACUCAAGAGAUCCUGGUGAGAAGAGUAUGGAACACGCUGAAAGAAGACAAUUUUUAGCCAUAUUUUUAGCCAUGAUGUAUCCUAAUCUCAUGGACUCUUUGUAGUAUGUCCGACUACUGUUAGCUGUGGUUAUGCACUUUAGACUGGAUUUUGUGAAAAAUUAAAUAAAACAUUUCA